rnacentral:lncRNA from 1 species
GGCCAGGGAUUGAACCUGAGCCACAGCAGCAACCCAAGCCACUGCAGUGACAACCAGAACCUUAACCCAGGAGAACUCCUAGAAUAUUUUAGAAUUCCUUAUGGAAGGGGAUAAAAGUAGCCAAAGAUUAUUCUCCAAGGUCCUAAUUUCAGCUGGACAACUGACUUCCUGCAGAGCCUUGAAAAUAUAUUUUACCUUUCCAAGUCAAGCCCAUGGCUUUCUCAUUAGUAAAAUUGAGCUAAAUUAUCUUACUAUACUUGCUUCAUAAAUUGUUUUGAAUUCCAAAAAAACCGCUGGGAAGUUUUAAAACUUUUUUUACUUUUUUCCCUCCAAAGAUGAAAAGGGAUCAUCCCUCCAGUGAGGGGAAGACACGACAUCUACAGGAUUAAGUCUUUGGGGAGCUUAAAUGUACAGCAUUUUUAAAAAGGAACCUCAAACCUUCAGCUCUGGAUAACCUCCCACAACCUGAGCCACUGUUUUAAUACAUUCUUAUAAUGCCAAGGUUUUAGAAAGGAGGGUAAAAAUACCUUCUUUGGGUAAUUUUUGUGCAAAUGGAACAGCUUAUUAAAGAUUCCCUCAAUGAGAAUGUGUAAACACUGGUCUUGGCCACAAAAAAUUUCCUGGGGCAAACUUCAUGGUCUGAUUUCCCAGAAAUACCCUGGAAACUGAACAGAAGGAAAUGCCUUAUACUGCUUUGUCUGUACCCACAAAAUAUACAUGUAGGAUCCCACCCAGCCUGAAUUUAACCCUAUGCCCCCUCAAAAGGACAAAAGUAAUAACAAAAAUCCCAUAAUGAGACCAUUGUACAUACAUAUAACAAUAGUAUCUGAACUACCUACACAUAACAGCCGAUGUAAUUAUAGCCUAAAAAGCUGAGCUCAUUCAGAGUGGAAAUGUGAACAGGUGCCCUGUGAUAAUAUUUUCUAGGCAAGAAACCAUUCAAAGUUAGCUCUGCUCCCUUCAGCUCUACUUACUUAAAAUCCAUCCUAAGGUAUAGGGGGAGGAGAACACUUGCUGAUUUACUCAAUUUGUAGUAUUUAAUGGACCUAAGUGAAUAAUUAUAAGAAUACAUGUCAAAUAUUAAUUUAAAAAAGAAAUGUGUCAUUAUUAUAAUUGUCGAUCUGGUAGAAAUUUAGAACAAAUCCCUCAGACUUGUCUUACCAUUUCUCUACCACUAUCUUAUUUCCAAAAUCAGGCUUAUCCGUGUCUUUCUAUCCUAUUCUUAUCCCACCAAACUAGUUUACUGCCAAGAUUAGCCACUUCUGUUAGCAGAUUGGAAGCUGUAGAGUCAACAUCAGCCUUGCUCUCUCCUUCUCUCCAUGUACUCAAAUGAUCAAUAUUCUUCUAAAUAUUUCUUAGAAAUGCCUCUUCAUUUUCUCUGCUACUACAGUGGUCCAAGGCUUUGGCAUCCUGCUAUGAUUGCUUCCAACCUUGCCUUUCCAUCAUUGUUCUCAACACUAGUCACUUUAGAAUCACCUCAAAUAAUUUCAGAAAUACCCCAAACCUUUCAAACAAAUAUCCCUUGAAGGUAUUUCUUGUUGCUUGUCUGUUUCACUCAAUAAGAACUUUUAGUGUAGAGUUGUGUGGAAAUUUUUAUUAUUUUUAAGUAGGAGUACUUCAUAGUAAUAUUUAGAUUCAUAUUGUCAAGGGACAUAUAAGUAUUUCUGGUCCCUGAGUAUAACAUGCCUGUGCCAUUUAUUUUUAGGAGAAAUUUUUCUUUGCCCCAAAUUACUAUAACUGCUAUAACUGAGUUAGGAAUAGUUAUUACCAUCAUAGGAUAUGAUUGAAAGAGUAUAAGAUUGAGGAAUUUGAAUUGUAGUUCUGAUUCUUGGUUAAAGUUAUUUUUUCUGCUAAGCUUCAGUUUUGUUUUGUUUUGUUUUGUUUUGUGAGAAUAAUAAUAUUUUACCACAUACCUCACAGAAUUAUUGUCAGGAUUAAAUGAGAUAACAUGUAUGAAAAAGUAUGAGAUUCCAAAUGCCCUCCUCUUCAGUAUAUACAUUUGAUUUAUAAAUAAACUAUAAACCCUUAAACUUAUUAUAAGUAAAUAUUGCAAUAUAAACAAUAUUUUACAAAAAAAAAGCAUUUUGCAACAGUUAUUGUCUUCACAUAUGCUUACUUUAAACCAGUGGCAGCCCUCUCUACCUAAAGAAGUUAUAAAUCAGAGUAUGUUGAACCCCUCUCAGUCUGACAGCAGACUGAGACUUUCUCCCACAUCUGUAGUCACUCCCCAUUGUCCUUGGCAAACCCUGCCUAGGUCUGCAAAUAAUUCCUGCUCUCUAAUUUCAAAGACAAGAAAAAGCAGCCAGGAGUUCCCAUCGUGGCGCAUUGGAAACAAAUCUGACUAGGAACCAUGAAGUUGUGGGUUCGAUCCUUGGCCUUGCUCAGUGGGUUAAGGAUCCUGCAUUGCCGUGAGCUGUGGUAUAGGUCACAGACGCUGCUCAGAUCUCACAUGGCUGUGGUGUAGGCCAGCAGCUGUAGCUCCAAUUAGACCCCUAGCCUGGGAGCUUCCAUAUGCCCAGGUGCGGCCCUAAAAAGCAAAAAAAAAAAGCAGCCAAACCAACAGGUAAACUGCCAGCCAUGUCCUGCUUCCACACAGGUUCAUCAGACUUGGUUAUCUUCUAAAUUCCCCUGCAAAAGGGGCUGGGGAAAAAUUCAGGAGAAGCCGCUGCUGCAAGUGAGGGUGUUCAUAUUUAAUAAGAAUGCCUCCUCAUUCAUUUGCUGAUGAGAAAGGAGAAUAUGUCUAAAUGUAAAUUAACAGGAUGGCUUUGAAUAGUGCAAGGGAAAGUAGAGGGCCAAGACUAGUUUCAGUCCAAAGCCACACAGCAAUCCCUCAGAGAGAUUUAAAUCUACCUCAGAUCUUAGGUCCCCACUUAAAGAUUAAUCUAUACUAUCUCCUCAUUCAGGGGCUAAGAAAAUAUUCAAGGGAAGUGAAGGAAUUUCUAAUCAUAUCUGAGUAUACUAUAUAAAUCCUAAUUAAGUUCAUAUCCCAAGGGAUCUUAGCCAAAAAACAAACAAAAACUCUUCUCAUAAAAUAGAAACUAUAUCAAAUGUUCUUAUCCUAGAUAUUUAAAAACACAAACAAGUUUUGAUAAUAAUCCAGUACAUUAUUCUGAAUAUGAAUUUAGAGGGUUCUUCAAUUAAACUGUAUUUUAAUGCAAUAUUUAUUUAUUUUCUUAUCAGUUGAGAAAUUAUUUAUUAUGUUGAAGAUAAAUUGGCAAAAUACAUUUCUUCUACCUAAAAUAUUAAAUGUAGUGUUAAGUUUCUCAAUCAUUUGGAGUUGUUGAAUCUUUCAAAAUCUGAUGAAAGAUACAGCUGCUCUUACCAGAAAUACACAAAUAACUGUAAAAUCUGCAUCUGUUUGAAAGGAUAAAGACUACUUAAUCCUUAUUAAGAUCCCUUAAUGUUGCAGGAAAAAUAGAUAUGAAGAUUUGUGCAAUGUAAUAUUAAAGCAAUAAAUCUGCUGUAAGAGAUCAAGGAGCACUUAUUUAAGUGUAAAAUGCUGUUAAGAUUCAUGAUGGAGGAAACUUUGGGCCUUGUCCUUGAAGGAUGAAUAGAACUUUGCCAGACAGAGAUGGGGUAGGAAGAAAACAUUCAAGUCUACAGGAUAGCAUAAACAAAAGUAGGGGAUCAUAUAAAUAUAUGAAUAUUAGUCAUUUUCCAACAAGAAAAAAUUUAAAGUUCCACUAGAAAGUUUAGAUUUCAUCCUACAUAUAGUGCCAAGUCAUUAAUGUUUUUUAAGCAAAGGAGGGAAAUGGUCAGAAUGGUGCAUUAGAAAGAUUAUCCUAGUGACAGUAAAGAAUUAAUUGGUGUAGAUAAAGAUGAAAGGUUGAGAGAAGGUAAUUUCAGUGGUAUAAAGGAGAAGUAAUGAGUCAGUGGCAAUAGACUUAUAUAACAAAUGACAUUUCAAAGGUAGAAUCAAGUAAAAUUGACCAUUGAUUAAAAUGUGGAGGAUGCGGGGGGAAGGAGGGAUUAGAGGUGAUUACAAAUAAAUGUCUUUUUAAAUGUUAGGAAACAUAGAACAUGAAGCAUAUUUUGAGUGGAAGAUCAGUUUAUUUAGGCAGAUUGAGUUUGAGCUAUUAUUCCUGAAAAUAAAAUAUUUUGCUUAUGAAUCUGUCCAGUAGAAUACUGUUAGUAUUAAUAACUACAAUAUUAAAAGAAAAGGAACUAAAACAAAAUUUUGAGAUUUCAUCAGGAAAUUGUUCACUAACCCAAUUUUCAGCUCUUAUUCAAACAAGUAGGAAUUCAUGUCGUUAAAGUUUUUUUUAUUAUAGUUGAUUUACAAUGUUCUGUCAUUUUCUGCUGUACAGUAAAGUUAGACAGUUAUACAUGUACAUAUAUAUAUUCUUUUUCUCACAUUUCCUCCAUAAUGUUGCAUCAGAAGUGAUUAUAAUUCCCUGUGCUAUACAGCAGGAUCUCAUUGCUUAUCCACUCCAAAUGCUACAGUUUGCAUCUGCUAACACCAAACUCCCAGUCUAUCCUGCUCCCUCUGACUCUCCCUCCCCCUUGGCAACAACGAGUCUGUUCUCCAUGUCCAUGAGUUAGUUUCUUUUCCAUAGAUAGAUUCAUUUGUGCCAUAUAUUAGAUUCCAGAUAUGUGAUGUCAUGUGGGAUGUCUUUCUCUUCCUCACUUCACUUAGUAUGAGAGUCUCUAGUUCCAUCUAUGUUGCUGCCAAUGGCAUUAUUUUGUUCAUUUUUAAGGCUGAGUAGUAUUCCAUUAUGUUAUACCACAUCCUCUUAAUCCAUUCAUCUGUCGAUGGACAUUUAAGUUGUUUCCAUAUCUUGGCUACAGUGAACACAGGGGUGCAUGUAUCUUUUUCAAUUAAAGUUUUGUCUGGAUAUAUAUCCACGAGUGGGAUUUUUGGAUCAUAUGGUAGUUCUAUAUUUAAUUUUCUGAGGUACCCCCAUACUGUUUUCCAUAGUGGUUGUACCAAUUUACAUUCCCACUAACAGUGUAUACCUUUGAACACAGACAAGUUUACAAAAUAAGCAAUGUUGCCAUCUCAUCAAAAACACUGAUUUCUUCCAAAGAGAAAGAAUCUCAUCAAAAGAGUUUAGGCAACAGUUACUUGACAACAUUAGGCACCAGAACUUUUAUCAAAAACCAGCUUCCUACCUCAGACUCAGCUCUCUAAGAAUUCAUUGAGAGCCGAAUGAGAUCAUCUAAUGCAACCUUCCUGAGUAAACAAAAAAGCUAAUGCCCAGGGAUAUUAAAGAAGUCACUUUGGUAAUAAACAACAGAACUAAAACUUUUGUAUCCUGAUUCCCAUUUCAGGUGUGCUUUCCCCAGUCCCAUAUUUUCAAAUGUUUCUUUGAGUCUUGAAUUAACCCAGUGGACUUGAAGUUAACCUAUGUCCCACAAAGCAGACCUCAGGAGAAUACUGAGCUGCCAUACUGAUGGAUUAUUGGGGUUGUUUCCAACUGUUUGGGCAGAACCACUCAAGCAGCUGGCUGGGUUGAGGAAUGAGUGACUACACACAUUUGUGCUUAGUGCAGAAAUGGUUAGAAAGCAGAUAUGGUUUCUCCCUAAGUGGCCACCACCUUCCCAGUGGCUGCUAAGAGAUCUGAUAUUGUAAAAUUCCAUGUCCUCCACCCUCCAGCCUGCCCUUCUCUCUCACUGAACCUCAUGCCCCCAAAUUAGCUAUCCCUAUUCCUUACUUGAGAGAAUUCUGGUGCUUAAAAAUUACUACUCUGGAAUAGAGAAGCAAUGUAAUGAAAAUAAUCUUUGAACUUCAAAAUGAAGCUACAGUGAAAGGGCCCCUUCACUACACUGUUAGAGGAGCAGAAACUAAACGCUUUAUCAAAAAUGGUUGGAAAAUCAGACUCUCUGGGAGCAGGACUGGGAAUCUGUUCAAAAAAACUCUACAGGCUCUAAUGUUUAGAAAGUUUAGAAAAAUCUCCAACAUAAUGUGUAUUCAGAUUAUUUUCCCUAAAGUUACAUUUUGAAUGUUCCAUUUCAGUAGCUAAUCUAAGACUCUUAGAUGUGACAAGAGAAACACAAAACUGCUGGAGAUGGAAUGUGACACCGUAAGUCCUGGAACUAGAAGGUAUUGGAUAUUUCAUCCAGCAUCUUGUUUUUCAUGUAGAAAAAUUCUUCAUGCAUUGCAAAAAUUUCCCAGUGUCACACAUUCAUAGAAAGGAAGACUGAAUGUAUUGUAAAUUUUCCUAUCUUUUUCUUUAGAUUACUGAUAGAAAGUAAAAUUCAAAAAAGGAUAUUAAUUUCAACUUAAUUCCUGACGGAGAAAAAAAGAAACUAAAUGCAGACAAAACUUGAUAACCAAUUUACCCUCCAUAUGCUAAAUGAAUAACUUGCUCUCUGCUUAGGUAUCAAGCAAAGAUUUAUGUACUCCAAAAUAUUCAACUCACUUGACACUUUACAGAAGAAAAAACAGCAGGCCUCUCACUUAGUGAGACCUGUUUCGUGGCUAUUUAUAAAUGGAGUAGAAUAACAAAUCAUUAGGACAUGUUUGAGAGGGAGAAAAAAGCAUGAAUAACUAUAGUUAUUAUAUUUCAUGUGUGUCAGUCUACUAUCUGAGCAUUUAUAGAGCCCAUAGGAGGAAUUUUUGAUAUUUCUUUUCAGUUAAAACCAGCUGUUAAAAUUUAUAGCUUUUCUGGUUCACAGAAAACUAUGGCCUUUGUAAAGGAAGGGUGUUGGGCUUCUAGGAAGUAGAGAAUAAAUGAUAUUAUGAAGAAAUAUUACUUUUCAACUUAUUUUAUACUGGCUCUAUAUCACAGUCUAACUUCAGUGCUUCUCCAGGACCUUCUAGAAAUCACAGAAAAGUAAAUCAUAUUGGAAAA